UUAUCGCGUGAAGGAUAGAAGCGAUAUCCUUUUUACGUCAGCUCGAGUAGCGAAGCGUAUCGAGAACAAGUAAAAAGAUAAAGCGGAUAGCCUAACCUAAA
rnacentral:sRNA from 1 species